UGUUAUAUCGGCUUCAUGCACCUCAAACGUUUGUUUGUGGACCGCCAUUAUACGCAUAGAAGAAGGGUUGGUGUAACGUUAACGUGUGUCGUCGUCCUAGUAGCAGCGAGGCUCUGCGUUAACAUAAAUAUGGUGAAGAUCUUUAUUGGAAACCUCCCUAACGAGGUCGAAAAGGAUGAGAUUGAGGCCCUGUUUACUGAACAUGGCACAGUGACAGAAUGUGCAAAGUUCAAAAAUUACGCCUUUGUCCACAUGGAUGACCGCAAGUCUGCAACGAAAGCCAUCCGCAGCCUGCACCUCUUCAAGCUUCAUGGCAGGCCAAUCAAUGUGGAGCCGAGCAGGGGGAAGAACCAGGGUCCAGUGAAACUUCAUGUGGCCAAUGUGGAGAAAGGCAACGGCGAUGAGCUCCGCACUCUGUUCGAGGAGUAUGGAACAGUGACAGAAUGUGCCAUCAUAAAAAAUUUCGCAUUCAUUCACAUGUCCAACUCAGAUGAGGCCAAGGAUGCCAUAAAGGGAUUAGACAACACUGACUUCCAAGGCAAACGGAUUCACGUUCAGAUGUCAAAAAGCCGUCCCAGAGGGGAGGAAGAGGAUUACGGCCCCCCACCAGAUAGGGGUGGAUACUGGCCACCACCCCGUGGCUACCCUGGGGACAGGGGUAUGCGUGAGCCCCCGCAUUACAGAGGUCGCAUGUCAGGGGGUUACCCUGGACCCCCUCCACCACCACCUCCCCCUAGACGAGCCCCUUACCUCCCAGAGCGUGCUUAUGAGCGUGAGAGGGAAAGCUACGGGGUGGUCGAUUACUAUGAGAAGUACAGAGCGCGCCCUGCCCCUUACGGUGGCCUUUCAGGCUAUGGAGAUGAAAGGCGUGUUGGCGCCAUACCCCCUCCACCACCACCCCCUUCUGCCAUGGUUAGGGAGCGCCUUGGGGCCUCCUCCCUCAACCCGUACGAGCGUCGCCCCCUCCCUCCUCCGUCCUCCUACUAUGCCCGUGAUCGCAGUCCCAUCAGAAGACCCCCUCCCCCCAUGCCCCCCGCAGGUAACGGCUACUCCUAUGAGCGCUCUCGGCUCUCUCCUCUGUCCAGGCCAGCGAUGUACAGCGUACCACGUACCAGAGACCCCUAUGCUGAGAGGGUGCCUCUGCCCCCUCCUGCCCGCUACUCGUAUUGAACGCACACUGGUGCUUGACUCAAGGUUGUUAGAACCAUGAUCUGUGGAUAGGUGUUGUGGACACAAUGUAGGAGACGGUCGUGCUGUCUUUUGCUGUAUCCUACAAUAUGGACAUGUGGAGGUAAUGUUCAAUUAAGGUCAUUUAUACAGAACUGUGAUUUAUUGUACUUUAAAGGUGCUACACAGAUUUGAUAAAAAAAAAGAUGCUUUGUAAUUUCAGGAUUUCCAUAAUAYCUGCGGUAAUAGUGGAAUGAUAGUGUUUCACAGUAUUACAUACCCGCCAGUGUUGUGGUUUGCUGUGCUAUUCGCCUAUUGGUUUCCCCGCUGAAGCGGCACUUGUCAAAAUGGGAAAGCUGUUCUGACUUUGGCUGUUUACCUAGUGGAAAUCGCUCUGUCAUUAACUGGUUGGUAAAAUUCUACACUUGUUCGCUCAAUUUCAGUUUKUGAGAAAAUAAGCACUGUAUAGUGAAGUGAAUCAUUGUACAAUCCAAAUUGCUGUGAAUGGUCUUUUCAGUGAAACAAAAGUUAUUUUUUGAAGCUGGUGAAUAGUCUACCAGCUUCAAACAGCUGUAAAAACUAUUUUUGUUUUUGAAAAGAUAUUUUGCAGCGAUUUAGAUGGUACAAGUCAAACAGCUUUCCCAAAUGAUAGGCGAAUAUCACAGCCAACACUAGCGGCGGGUAAGUAAUACUUUGAAACACUCAUUCCACUAUUAGCGGCAGAUAUAUUAUGGACAUUUUCUGAAAUUACAAUGCAACAAAAAUACAAAUCCUAUGUUUAGUACCUUUUUAAGUCCCAUUUGAUGACAUACUUUGCCCAUGCUUAGUGUCUUUGUCCUUUUCUAUCCAACUGAUCCCCAUCUUAUUGCUCCUAUCCCCCACAUCUAGGCCUCUUGUUCUUUCCUUGCACAAGAGGUUGGUACGGAAGUGGAAUUCUGCUAGGGAAGGUAUUGUGAAAUUAAUUUAGCAGAAUAGUGUAACCAUGUAGGUAUCAGUAAUGAAAUGUUGGAAUAAGUGUCAUGUUGGACAUACUAAAUAUAUUUAUUUUUGUAAUUGUAUGGAUGAACAGACUUCCCCAAUGCUUAGUAUGUCCUUUUUAAUGAUACUUGCCUUCCAUCCUAUUUCUCCCAUCUCUUCCCCUCUAGGCCAUGGUCUUCUUUCCAGAGGUUGGUACAGAAGUGGACUUCAGCUCCUCUUGAUAUUCUGACACUGCUCUUCAGGGUUAUGUAUGCUGUGAAUGGGUGCCACCGCUACCAGAUCGGUCCUCAUGCAGGAAGUGCAAUGGCCCAUCAUGGAGGGACUUGGGGAGGACCAGUUUGAAGAAGGAAUACUGUCUGACUGCUGCAUAAUCAUUUCCUGACCAGAUGACUCCUUGAGUUGAAGUGACAUCAGGAAAAUGUCGUCCUCGAUGCUCACCAUUUCUAUGUAUUGUCACAAAUUA